rnacentral:lncRNA from 1 species
CUGGCCAGCAGCGGAGGCAGCUCUUCCCAGUGGUUCCUGCCAGCAGGCAGAUCAGCAAGACUAGAUGCAUCUUUCCGAGUCCUUUCCAAGUACUCACAGUCUCAAUCGGAAUGCUGUUGCCCUGGAAACAGCAUUCUCCGGACAGAACAAAGGUAAAUUCCGUGGGACACAGCAAGGGUGGCUGGAGUGAAACCAGGCUUAGGCACCACAGCCAACAUGGAGGGAGAAAAGAGACUGGAGAAAGUGACGUCAACAGCAAUGUAAGAAGUCAACUGGCACUGAGAGGCCCCUAGUUGGUCUGCUCCCCUGAAGACUUCAUAUACCGAUACAUCCCAGAGGACCUGCUGCACUCAGAGCAGUUGGUAAGAACACUUCCCCCUCCGCCACCCCUGACCCCAGUCCCAGAGUUGCUGCUGGGAGCCUGGUGGAUUCAGGACCCAUCACCCACCAAAACACCCGUCCUCCCGAAUACUACUCUUAUUCCUUCCAUCCCUCCCACUCCUUCCUCCUGGUCCUUGCUGCUGGGGCAGACCCCUAAUUGGUCUGCUCCCCUGAAGACUCCAUAUCCUAACACAUCCCAGAGGACCUGCUGCACUCAGAGCAGUGGAGAACCCUCUGCACUCAGAGAAGUUGAGGAUCAGUUGCACUCAGUGCAGUUGGACAACAGCUUGACUGCUCCAUGGAAGACCCAACAGUCUGAAGACCUCCCAGGAGAUCUACUGCAGCCAGGGCAACAGAUCAGCAGCUUCUCUGCCCCAUGAAGAGCCCUCAGUAGGAAGGCCCCACAGGUGGUCUGAUACAGCCAGGGCUGCAAGCCUACCAUGAGACCUGAAGCUACCCAGAUACAAAAGAGGCAGACUUCAUACAGUCAACAAAAACCAGGGAUACAGAUAUAGCUGUCUCUUGUGAGACUAUGCCGGGGCCUUGCAAACACAGAAGUGGAUGCUCACAGUCAGCUCUCAAGGGGAGGUCCCAAGGCCUGACGCUAUUACUGAGGCUAUGGAGUGCUCACAAAAAGGGACCAAGCAUGCCUGCCCUCCAAAGACCCAACAAGCAGCUGAAAGAGUCAGAUGCAGUUAUUUGCACCCAACCAAUGGACAGAAGCAGCUGACCCCUGUUGUUGAAUUAGGGAAGCUGAAAGAAGGGCAGCAGCAUCAUGGUCGUGUGCGUGGUACAUGGCAUGGUGAAGGAACAGCCUCCUUACCUCAUGGUGGCUAGGAGGAAAAGAGAAAGCGAAAGGGGAGAGAGUCGAGUUCCAGAUCCCUCUGCUGGAAAUUCACAGUAAUGCAACUUUCUCCCACUAGGCUCUGUUUCUAAAAAACACUACCUCUUCCCAAACUGUCUGUCUAUUGAUGAAACAGAACACACACAUGUACUCACCCAGAAAGGGAGCCUAACUCAGACCAAAGUACAGAGAUCAUCAAAGUUCAACUUGGGAGGGCUGAAGAACAUGCAUGUGGAAACAUCUUUACUCAUGAAGACACUGUGACAGGCACAGAGCUCCGAUUUAUCCAGGUGUUGGGAUGAAGAUGGCUUUACUCAUGAAGGACCAGGAUUUUACCUAAGGGAAGAACAUGCUUCAUAAAGAAGCAUUUUUAAAACCAAUUUGCAUGAUUACUGAAAUUUGAACUGGAACCUGAAACAGGGUAAACACACCUUGUGUUCAUAUAAUGUGAAGGUCAAAUAUUACAGGGU